GAAACCUAUUGAGUUCCAUUUAAAUAGUUUUAUUAAGUAUUUUAUUUACAUUUUUGGCAGCCAACUAAGAGGUUUCUGCUCUGUCUUAUAUACUCUGAAAUACAUAUGAAAGGAAAUUAGCUAUUUUCUAUAGAACUGGUUUUAUUAUAGUUGGUUUAGUGCUUUCAAUCUUUACCUCCUGUCAAACUCCACAUUUCCAUGGGAGCUGUGUUCAUCAUAGCAGUCUCCCUUCCUAGGUGUGGUACAGCAUUUCUCGUUUCUUGGCAAAAACAGCUUAGACUUGUUUUGUAGCAGUGGCUGUUGACCAAGUUACAUACAUGGACUAACCCAUCUGUUGUACCAGUAUGUAGCAAUUUUCUAAAUUAAAGACGUAAGAUAAGCAGCAGUAUGAAUUGGUAGUACAUUUGAAAACAGAAAAGCCCUCGAUCAUCUUCUGAACAUUGAAUGUGACCAGAAUGUGGCAUGUCUGAAUUGUGUUCAAGGUGCAAAGUACAGGAAGAUCUAGACCUGGAGCAAAUGGUGUCACAACCUGUGGUGCAAACAGGAUAACUAUGUAAAUUAGACAUGUUGUUAAUGAUAAACUUUGUUGUACAACAUUUUUUUUUGUUUGUAAUUAUUUCAUAUUACUUUUAGCAGUUGUCUAAGAAAUGUGUUUGAAAUUGUUAAAUACAAAAUUCAGGGUGUACUGCAUUAAAAAGGAUUAUUAUUAAAUAUGAGUGCUUACUUAGGCAUGACAUGUGUCAAAUAUAUUGAAUUAAAUAGUAUUCCAGGUAACUCCAUGAUGUGUAUUAAAAGUGCAAGUCUCCGAGAAUACAAGGAUAUCCAGAAAACACAGAUUUUUGUAUUUUUACCUCCUGAAGAAAUGGCAUAAUGCGCCACCUACUGGAUUGAAAAGAAAACCUUAAUAUCACAAUGCCACAAUCAAAUACUGUGUUAAACCCAAUUAUUGAAAUAUGUUUGAAAUAGUAAGAUAUGUAGUUUAUUGUCAUUUUUUUUCUCAAUUUUUAAGUUCUAUUGCUUCUGUUAAACUCUUUGGCUCAUUUGCUACAGAGCAGGUGUUUCAGAUAAAUAAAGGUAAAACAGCUUCCUGUCUUAAUUUCAAUCCUGGGCUGAGAUUGGGAUUUCAAUUAGGAAAACUGGUAAAGUAAUUUAAUGCAUCUUCCAAGAUUAUUGCAUUGUACCAUUUUUAAAUUUCAGCUGCAAAAAAUGAUCAUUAGAUGGAGCAAGCAGUAUUGCCCUCCGCCUUUUGGUUUUUAUAUUGCACAUGUCUUUUGUCACUUUUCUAUUAUUGAUGUAUUCAGUAUGAUCCUCAAAGGCUCAAUCAAUGUCAGACAAAAUAAAUCUUUGAGAUUGGUUUAUCUAGUGCUUAAAUGGUUUUGGUGGAGGGGGGUUAAACACUAAACAGAAUUUCUCUUUUAACCCUCUAAUGCCCAUUUUUGUAUCACAUGCUUAGCGACCUCUCUAGAUUUAUUAUUUUUUUUUAAAUCCAACCUCAAGCCAGAAUUUUUCAUAUG